rnacentral:sRNA from 2 species
GCCGCACAACUCCCUUGGAAUGGUGGGUGCCUCAUCCCACGCAAGUCCUUGUCCUGUUGUGCCAGAGCG